GAUAGAACGUAGCGAAAUGCGAUAAGUAAUGUGAAUUGCAGAAUUCAGUGAAUCAUCGAAUCUUUGAACGCAUCUUGCGCUCCUUGGUAUUCCUUGGAGCAUGCCUGUUUGAGUAUCAUGAGCAAAUCUCAAAGUCAAUUCCUUUUGUUGAUUCAAUUGGUUUUGCUUUGGACUUGGAGGCCUUGCAGAUUUCACAGUCUGCUCCUCUUAAAUGCAUUAGCUGGAUCUCAGUAAUUAUGCUUGGUUCCACUCGGCGUGAUAAGUAUCACUCGCUGAGGACACUGUUAAAAAGGUGGCCAGGAAAAUACUGAUUGAACCGCUUCUAACGGUCUAUUAAGUUAGACAAUUACCCUUAAGUUUGAUCUCAAAUCAGGUAGGACUACCCGCUGAACUUAAGCAUAUCAAUAAGCGGAGGA
rnacentral:misc_RNA from 1 species